UACGGAGGGUGCAAGCGUUAUCCGGAUUCACUGGGUUUAAAGGGUGCGUAGGUGGGUCUGUAAGUCAGUGGUGAAAUCUCCAAGCUUAACUUGGAACUGCCGUUGAUACUAUAGAUCUUGAAUGUUGUGGAGGUGAGCGGAAUAUGUCAUGUAGCGGUGAAAUGCUUAGAUAUGACAUAGAACACCAAUUGCGAAGGCAGCUCACUACACAAAGAUUGACACUGAGGCACGAAAAGCGUGGGGAUCAAACAGGA
rnacentral:rRNA from 1 species